rnacentral:rRNA from 1 species
AAAGCACAGCUCAGUAGCACGUGGCUAACCUGCCCUUGGGACGGAAGCACCCCAGGGAAACUGGGGCUAAUUUCCGAUAGGUGAAGACUUCUGGAAUGGGUUUUUGCCUAAAGGGCUCUUAGGGCAUGCUUCUAGGCGUCGCCCAAGGAUGGGGCCGCGGCCGAUCAGGUUGUUGGUGAGGUAACGGCUCACCAAGCCUUUAACCGGUGCGGGCCGUGGGAGCGGAAGCCCUGAGAUGGGCACUGAGACAAGGGCCCAGGCCCUACGGGGCGCAGCAGUCGCGAAAACUUCGCAAUAAGCGAAAGCUUGACGGGGCUAUCCCGAGUGCCAUCCGCUGAGGACGGCUUUUCCUCAGUAUAGAUAGCUGGGGGAAUAAGGAGAGGGCAAGUCUGGUGUCAGCCGCCGCGGUAAUACCAGCUCUCCGAGUGGUGGGGAUGAUUAUUGGGCCUAAAGCAUCCGUAGCCGGCUGGGCAAGUCCCCUGUUAAACCCAGCGAUUCAAUCGUUGGUCUGCGGGGGAUACUGCUCGGCUAGGGGGCGAGAGAGGUCGUCGGUAUUCCCGGGGUAGGGGUGAAAUCCUAUAAUCCCGGGAGGACCACCAGUGGCGAAGGCUGUCGGCUAGAACGCGCCCGACGGUGAGGGAUAAAAGCUGGGGGAGCGAACCGGAUUAGAUACCCGGGUAGUCCCAGCUGUAAACGAUGCAGGCUAGGUGUUAGAGCGACCACGUGCCGCUCUAGUGCCGCAGGGAAGCUGUUAAGCCUGCCGCCUGGGGAUACCGNCCGGCAGGCUGAAUUU